rnacentral:rRNA from 1 species
UACGGGGGGGGCAAGCGUUGUUCGGAAUUACUGGGCGUAAAGGGCUCGUAGGCGGCCAACUAAGUCGGACGUGAAAUCCCCAGGCUCAACCUGGGAACUGCGUCCGAUACUGGAUGGCUUGAAUUCGGGAGAGGGAUGCAGAAUUCCAGGUGUAGCGGUGAAAUGCGUAGAUAUCUGGAGGAAUACCGGUGGCGAAGGCGGCCACCUGGACGGUUACUGACGCUGAGGCGCGAAAGCGUGGGGAGCAAACAGG